AUGACUUUCAAAGGGUACAAGAUAAAUGGGAAUACAUUUUACACGAUCACCCAAGAUAAGAAGAGCACCAACCAAAACAGUGGUGUCCGCUUUGAUGCAGCAACCAAGAUGGGAAAGGACACAUAUUAUGGUUACAUAGAGGACAUAUGGGAACUUGACUAUGGGCGUGGGUUGAAGGUCUCUUUGUUUCGAUGCAAAUGGGUCAAUAUGACACGAGGCAGGGUAACGGAAGACCCGCAGUACGGAAUGACAAUAGUGGAUCUCAACAAUCUUGCAUACGCAGACGAACCAUUCGCCCUAGCCAAUGAUGUAGUGCGGGUUUUCUAUGUGAAGGACAUAUCUACCAAGCCGAGAAAAAGAAAAGAUAAGGAAGCGAAUACAUCAUACGAUGAGCCAAAGUGUCACAUAGUUCUUUCAAGGAAAAGAAACAUCGUGGGAGUGGAUGACAAGACAGACAUAUCAGAAAAUUAUAAAAAGUUUGAUGAGAUUGCUCCAUUCAGAGUGAAUAUUGACCCGAGCAUCCAGUUAAAUGAUGAAAAUUGUCCAUGGUUACAGCGCAAAGGGACACACGCGAAGAAAAAGUUUCACACCCAAAGAUCCCACUCUGGGAUGUGA
rnacentral:rRNA from 1 species